rnacentral:rRNA from 1 species
UACGGGGGGGACGAGCGUUGUUCGGAUUUACUGGGCGUAAAGGGCGCGUAGGCGGACCUUCAAGUCGGGUGUGAAAACUGUCGGCUUAACUGACAGCCUGCACUUGAUACUGUUGGCCUUGAGUACGGGAGAGGAGAGCGGAAUUCCUGGUGUAGCGGUGAAAUGCGUAGAUAUCAGGAAGAACACCGGUUGCGAAGGCGGCUCUCUGGACCGAUACUGACGCUCAAGCGCGAAGGCUUGGGGAGCAAACAGG